rnacentral:rRNA from 1 species
AGUGGGGAAUAUUGCACAAUGGAAGGAAGCCUGAUGCAGCGACGCCGCGUGAGGGAUGAAGGCCUUCGGGUUGUAAACCUCUUUCAGCAGGGACGAUCCGUGAGUGACGGUACCUGCAGAAGAUGCACCGGCUAACUACGUGCCAGCAGCCGCGUUAAUACGUAGGAUGCGAG